GUAAAGCACUUUCAGUCGUGAGGAAGGUAGUGUAGUUAAUAGCUGCAGUAUUUGACGUUAGCGACAGAAGAAGCACCGGCUAACUCCGUGCCAGCAGCCGCGGUAAUACGGAGGGUGCGAGCGUUAAUCGGAAUUACUGGGCGUAAAGCGCAUGCAGGUGGUUUGUUAAGUCAGAUGUGAAAGACCCGGGGCGUCAACCUACGGAAUAGCAUUUAGUAAACUGGCAGACUAGAGUACUGUAGAGGGGGGUAGGAAUUUCAGGUGUAGCGGUGAAAUGCGUAGAGAUCUGAAGGAAUACCGGUGGCGAAGGCGGCCCCCUGGACAGAUACUGACACUCAGAUGCGAAAGCGUGGGGAGCAAACAGGAUUAGAUACCCUGGUAG
rnacentral:rRNA from 1 species